rnacentral:lncRNA from 1 species
UUUUCCUCUCCGAAACUAUUUGUAUAUUGCUGAAGUGUUGCAACAGAAAAGGAUGUUGCAGAUGUCGAGGGACCUGCCCUUGGUGGGGUGCUAGCUCUUUUUUCUGGCCUAAAAAUAGGAUUAACAAUCACUUUUUCAACAGGAGGAGGUGGUGGCGGGGACACUGGUGGCGGCGGCGGUGGUGGCGGGGACACUGGUGGAGGCGGCGGCGGUGGAGGUGGUGGUGGGGACACUGGUGGCAGCGGCGGUGGUGGUGGAGGUGGCGGAGGUUCCACAGCAAAAAUAUCCGACUCUGUUCGCUCCAAGUUAAUUACACGCUCUUCUCUCUUUUCAGGAGGCUUCUCAAGAGCAGCUGCCAG